ACUCCUACGGGAGGCAGCAGUAGGGAAUCUUCCACAAUGGACGAAAGUCUGAUGGAGCAACGCCGCGUGAACGAUGAAGGCUUUCGGUCGUAAAGUUCUGUUGUAAGGGAAGAACAAGUGCCGCAGGCAAUGGCGGCACCUUGACGGUACCUUGCGAGAAAGCCACGGCUAACUACGUGCCAGCAGCCGCGGUAAUACGUAGGUGGCAAGCGUUGUCCGGAAUUAUUGGGCGUAAAGCGCGCGCAGGCGGCCUCUUAAGUCUGAUGUGAAAGCCCCGGCUCAACCGGGGGAGGGCCAUUGGAAACUGGGAGGCUUGAGUAUAGGAGAGAAGAGUGGAAUUCCACGUGUAGCGGUGAAAUGCGUAGAGAUGUGGAGGAACACCAGUGGCGAAGGCGACUCUUUGGCCUAUAACUGACGCUGAGGCGCGAAAGCGUGGGGAGCAAACA
rnacentral:rRNA from 1 species